GGAACAGGAAAUGCUCCCGGGACAAAUGCUGAAGCUGCCGGCUGCUCUCUGUGUGAUCUCCCAGGAUCUCAGCAGUGAGCUCAGCUGGGAUCCAUACAGUCGGAUCAGUUUGCGUUUGCACGCUUGGGGGAUCCAGGAAGCCCGAGAGUUGCUGUGGUCAUGGUGUCUCUUCACGAAAUGGAACACUGACUAAGACAGUGGGUAAGACCUAGACCCUUCCCCAAACCUUAGAGCUCUAAGAAAGACAAACCUGCAGAUCAUCAACUUCCAGACACACCAGCGGCUGCCACUGCAAUGUAGAGGUCGGUCUCAGCCAGGCACUGGGCUACUCAGGUGUAGUGGAAGGGGAGAAGAUCAUAGGAGCAUCACUCAGUGGAUGGAUGCUGGAACCUCGGGAUGUGUGAGCUCUCAAAGGAAGCAGCUGCAUAAAAGGCAAGCUUAAGUGCAGAUUCUCUCUCUAAUUCCUUUUCUUCCUGCAUGCUAGCUCUCUUCCAAGUGUAUUCUUACCAUUGCAUUGUCCACCAUGUUGAGAUGCACCAAUGCACCAGACCUCACCGGAGUCCUGCCAAUGCCCUUUAAUAGCAUUCAGCAGCUCUGGGUGCCCACUGCCCCACCCUCUGCUUGAGACUGUGAUCACAGUGCAGCAGGACUGUGCUCCAGGGCCUACUCCCACAAUCUCAGCUUCAACACUUGCUAAGAGGAGAAUUACCUCUCCUCUGCGCCCUCCGUCUAUUGCCAUGGCCUUUCCACGUCACUGAGAAGGCCUUGAUGGUGUCUCUGUCCUGCUUCUAAGAUGGGAAUAAUGGUUUCAGUAAGUCCUUCUGGUCUACCUCAACUAGCCAGCAUAAAAGAUGUCCACGGGAGUGAAGUGUCUUGUCUGGAAUCUGAGGAAAAUUCAGAUUCUCAGAAUCCGUUGUGUGCAGGCACCAGAGCAUCCAAAGUGAUGGUAGAAAACAUUCCUCCCAGAUACAGAGACAAGGAACUUCCUCAUCAGUCCACACAGGCUCUCUGGCCUGUGCUAGGCUGGUGCCAUGGCUGGUGCUGAGGUGGCUCGGUACAGACCAGACAGGCUGAGAAGCUUCUAGAAACCUAAAGGUGAAGGGAAGGAGGAAAGAUGGGGAGAGACAGAGAGGCAGCCAGCUUGGGGAGCCUCCUCUCCUAACUCCCCCCCACCACAACACUGGGCUGUUAUCCCACUUGGGGGUCCUGGAGAUGGACCUGGGACCACAUCAUAAAUAUAUCUUCUUAGUUGAGACACUUCAAGGUGCUUUUCUCUCUUGUCCUGGAAACUGUCCAGAAGACCUGACUCUUGUGCUCUUCUGGGCUCAUCUCCUUGAACCUCUGAUCCAGUGCUCUCAAGGGAGUCUGUCUACACCUGCCCAACUUGCUCUUCUCCCUGUACCUCUCUUCCAGACUGAGGUAGGCCAGGCCUCUUCUCUGUAGUCCUAUAGUUCUCAGUCACAGUUCUGACCGCAUUGACUCUGACCUGUGGUUUUUGUUUUGUUUUGUUUUUUGGGUUGUUUUUUUUUUUUUUUUUUUUUUUUUUUUUGCCUGAAAACACUACAUCUCAGGACCCUUUUGAGUCAAAUAGACCUCUGCAUCCUGCCUUGACCUUGAUCUUCAAGGUUUGCUGGGAACUCCGGUGAAAGGAAAGCCAGGUGAAAUACAUACCUCCUUGGGAAGCACACAUGCAUACUUACUUCUCAAAGACUAUGAGCAAGGCCACUGUCUUCACACUAUUUCAGAUUGUCACCCCUUCUGAAAAAGCACCUCAGCCCCACAAAGACAGACCUGGCAUCCCAGCUCCAGCCUGCUCCAAAGCAAGGCCAGAGUUCUUGAAAACUAUGGAGGCGGUGGUGCUGGGCCCCAGCCACUUUGGAUCACAGUAACAAGCGCAGGGGAUUCCAGUGUGGAGAGAAGCCAGGCAGCUCAAAAUCGGAACACCUGCACAAGAAGUGAGGGACCCACGGGGCUUUGACUUGGAAACUCUCGGUUCUCUGGGUACUGGUAUUCACACGAGUUUACCUUGAUGGGAAAUUGUGUGCCUGUGUAGCUGACGCUGCCCUGUGUGGGCAUAGGAGCCCUAUGCACCCUGAGAAGGUGCAGGUUCCUGGGCAUCGGAUGGGACUCCUGCUGUGGCCCUUGGGCAGAACCUGGAGGCCCAGCAUUGAGCACAUUUACAAAGUCCAGGCCUGCUAGAUUAAUGAGUGUGAACUCUCCUGUAUGCUCUGCAUUGCCUGGCACCUCCAGUCCACAGAAGGUCCCCAGCAUUCCAGCCUGUUGAAGGCAGCCUUUCUAUUUACAGUCAAGGAACAAAUGUAUGCAUAUGUAUUUGCAUUUCUUUGAUCAUCUAUCUGGGAAGGCAGGGAGGGGGUUAAAGCUCAAGGAGUCGCACUCCACCUUGCAUGCAAAGCCUGUGCCCAUAUCCUUUAAGCCCUAAUUAAAGCAUGACCAGAUCAGCCAAAUUCAGAGCCUGAAGUUACAUUCCCUCGUAAGACAGCCAAUGCAGCUCACGGAUGAUAAAUGAUUUCAUCAGCGUACCGCAUUACAUGGGAAGAAUGCAUGAGGUGAGAAGGCUUUUAAUGUGCUGCCGAAGGAGGAGGCAGGAAGCCUGCAGGGAGUCUGGGCUCCAAGUUUCAAUCCAUUUCUAAUUAUGCUAAAAACGAGACUCGGGCACUGAAUGGUCAACCCUUCCUCCACGUUAAUUUAGGUUUAUCGCCAUCCUUGCUUCCUGAUCUGUCUAUCGCGGAGAUGCAGGCUGGGCUGCAGAUCCUCAGCGACAGCGAUGCGCUCAGUACUACUAGAUAACUCGCUCAUGGGUCUGAGCGGCGCUAAGCCAGUUUUUCUGUCUUGUGGAAUUACUAACUGUGAGGACAUAUUUUCUGUAACUUCCUAAAUCCUGCCUGCAGGGAUUCUAAUCCCAGUUUUCCCCAAAUCGAGCUGUGUGACUUUGUUAGUUAAGCUCCUUACAUCCCUGCAGUUCACCCUCCUCGUCUGUAAGAUGGGGAUAAAAAUGGUAUUUAUACUAAGGUCAUCUGUGGAAUUAAAUCGGACAUGGAAGCCCUUCGUGGUGUCCCUGGCUUCUGGGAUACCCGCUGUAAGCUUGAGCCAGCAGCAGAUCUCGUUGCCCUUAUCGAGGCUUGAAUCUUCCAGGGUAGAGGGCUAAGGGUGAGGCUUGGUGCAAAUGCAAAAGUGUGAAGUCUUCAGUGUACCUGCCCCUCCUCACCAUGAGACUCUACCUUAAAGCAUUGCGGUGACUAGAUUCACAAGGAGAAGACCACAGGGACCUGAGAUAAAGAGGAAGAGAAGGAGAAGGGAAGAUGAUAUUUGGGUGUGCUCUUCAGAUGUCCACUCUUUCAACUCGUUUCUGAUGCUGUGAUAAAAUGCCCGGAAGUGGGGCAGGAGCCGCCACACCCCUCUACUGAACCCUCCCAGCGCUGACGGUCCUUGACUCCAUGCUGCACCGUAUUGGCAUCCACCGAGUGCAGAUGAGGGCAGCCGAGACGGCGGAUUGCCCAACAAUUAAGGGUUUGGUCAUUCUGGCUCCAUGGCGCCUGCUUCCCUGGAAGUUUCUGUGAUGGAUUAAGUGUUUACAGCUCCCCACUGCCUCCCCGAACUCUUCUUCCUUCAAGCCUGCUGUUAAGCUGUCAAUAUAAACAAUGACUCUGCCAUGAGUUGCCCUCAGUGUCCAUCAGACUCAGAACAGCAGACAACUAUUGUCACAGUUGGCUAAACUCCCAUCUGAGGGCAGUGGGGUUUGUUUUAUGUUUUUUGUUUUUUGUUUGUUUUGUUUUGUUUUCCUCUGUGUGGUCCUCAUCUGGCUGGAAACAACUUUCCAAAAAGCAAUUAACUUUCCAUUUGAAAUGAAGUAAGCCAAGCUUUUCUCCUUUCUCCUUCUGAAGAUGCUUUCAGGCUGUCCACUGCCUCUUCAAACUGAUGCAAGAUGAGGGAGAUUUCUAGAAGAUUCCACAAUUUACGACAUCACCCUAGAUCCAUUCCUACAGACCCCAGGAAUUUCCUCAGAAGUGGUGGGAAGAUUUUCCGACAUCUGGACCCCAGCCAUCAUUCUCACUGUCAUGUCUACUCUGCCUUCAUUCAUGCCACUCCUCCUCAGAGCUCUCUUGGCUUUUGCCCGGCCCCAGCCACAAACCAUAACCACAUAUCACUGCAUGCACAGGCCAGCUUCCCUGGAAUGCUUGCCAGGAAUCACUGUUGGAGACCACACAAAGCAAAUAGCAGGCUAAAGGGUGGAGGAGAAAAAUGGCUGUCCCCUUAUAUCCAGCCUGCCACCUGUGCAGUUCCCAAAGCUCACCCCACUGUGUUCCCUGAAGGACUCCUUACUCUAGCUUGGGGGUUCUCAACCUGUGGAUUGCCAUCCUCUGGGGCCUACAACCAUUGGAAAAACACAAAUAAUUACAAUUCAACACAAAUAAUUAUAAUUCAUAACAGUAGCAAAAUCACAGUUAUGAGGUAGCAAUGAAAAUAAUUUUAUGUUGGGGGUCAUUACAACAUGAGGAACUGUAUUAAGGGGUCAGAGCAUUAGGAAGGUCUAGCUAAUGAACAUUAGCUUUGUGACCGGUACCAAUUUAGUUUUGUUAUGCAGAAAAUACACUCCAAAUUUCCAAGACAACACACAUACACACACACACACACUCACACACACACAAAGAAUGGAAGCUAUUCCACUAGUGAUUCUGUUGUGGGGCACAUGGGGGGUAAUCAUAAUAUUUUGAAUA